AUGAUCAUUUCAGCAGCACAGGUACUAAAACUGCAACAAUUCGGAAAAGAUUAGCAUAGCUCUUACAUAAGUACGAGACACAAAUUAACAACUUAUCCUGCAUUUUU